AACAGACAGGUAUUGCGUUCAAAAUAACAGAGGAAUAGAAGAUUAUUCGGAAAAUACUACUUUUAUUGAAUUCUUAAGUACUUUGAUUUGUAAAAGCAAUGGACACCGAGGUGUGAACAGACUAUGAAAGCGUUAGUUUUAUAGGAUAAAUGGACGAGGCUCGAGGAUUGUAUACACUUUAAUAGAAUCGUGAUGAAAUGAUUUGAAGUAAUAGACUUUUAAAAUGGAUUUUGACUGUGUAACGGAGAUUCACAGGAGAUAUCAUAGAUAAACAAUAUUUACGAUGCACGCAGUUCAUAUGAGUGUAAUUAUACAGUCGAGAUAAACAAGAUCGAUUCCGGAUGGAACUGCUUCAGGUGAUCGCUCUUGUGAGCACACUUUCAACAAUAGUUGAAGGUCUCCAUUGCUGGCACUGUAUCGCUGACGACUGCUCUGACGACCCGAGUGGAAACUAAAAGGCCACAGAGAAAUUGUGUAUCGCUGAGCAAGCAUGUCAGAAAGUAUACUUUGAGAUGCUAGAAGAAACUGAAAGGGGCAACUUUAUUCACACGUCGACAGUACGAGGCUGUUCAAGUGGGUGUAAGUCACGUAACGACUUUAGAAACUGCACGCAUCAACAACGAACGUCACGUGGAUGUGUCCGGAAGGACUGUUGUAGUGAUACUGACCUGUGUAACAGUGCAAACACUUUGCAGAUUGGUUUGUCAUUGCCUGUGAUCAUGAUUUUUGCAAUAGAGCAGGCAUUGUGAAGAUGUGUGUAAUUUUCUGUGGUGAUGGUGAUUCGCGUAGCGAUGCAAACGUUGUGAGGAUUGCUGUGUCUUUUUCUGUGAGGAAUUUGUAACGGUGCAACUAUUGUGUAGAUGAGCUUGUGAUUUGCCUUGAUUAUUAAGAUUUCUGUAACACUAAAAACAUUGUGCAGGUGCGUGUGUAAUUGUUGUAAUCCUGCUGAUUUGGCGUAUAAUGUAUUAACUUGUGAGCAUGCGUGAGUUGUGCCAUAGUCUGAUAAGUGUAACAUAUAAUGAUCGUCACCUAUGGUCUGUGCUUAGAGUCAUUGUGAAACAGGAAAAAACGAGUAAGAUUGUUUGUGAUCAUUUUAUCACGGAUUGAUAAAUUAUGAUGAUGAAUCAGUUGUUGUGUGUGAACAGUUCAGUAACACACAUUUGGAAACAUUUUUAAAAAGUUUUCAACUUGUGUACUGUUCAAUACGGUUGCGGCAGCAAAGAUCGAAACUUGUUCUAUAAACAUACAUACUAAGGUGAACGGAUCAUAUAUGAUUUGAUGUUAUUUUCGAUGUUGCUCCGGUGUUUUGUUUUCUUUUGUUUUGAUGUGAAAAAUUUGUUUUGGCUUUACAACAUCAAAUUUUAAUGAUUGAUUUCCAUUGCAUGCAAAUAUGUUUAUAUUUCCUCUUAAAAUAGACAUUUCGUGUAUAAAUGUCAAAAAUAUUGCACCUUUACCAUGCAAGAAUUUACCAUACUAAAACAAGUUGUUUUUGGGCAUUGUUAAGAUUGUUUAUCGAAUCUAAUAUAAUCUAUUUAUUUCUUUAGAUAGGUAGGAAUCGUGAUUUGGCUUCAUUAAAGCAAAUUUAAGUGAUUAAGUUCUUUUUCAUCUCCUAGAGAUGUGAAGCCAAGAACGUCUGGGUUGAGCUAUCUCUAAAAGAGUUUAUAUAAAGUUAGUAACAAACAAGAUACAACUUACAACGAGUUUAGGAUUUUACAAAACUGAAGAAAUGGCCUUUGGGCGUUGUUAAUAUCGAAUAUGGUGAUUGACUGAUACCGUAGAGACGUGUUUGGGUAUUGGUCAACUUCAAAAAAUGACAUUGAAUAUUAUUGAAUUCAUGGUUCGCAGAAUAUUGCUUUAUACUUAAUAAAAAAUAUUCUGAUUAAGAUAUGUUUGCCGACAUUGACGUGAAUAAUUAAGGUAAAUAACUGAUAUGAGCAAGGGAAGUACUAGACAUAAAUGACUAAAUGAACAUGAAAUUUACGAAAAUGACAAAUUCUUAAGAAAUACACUUAAUAAAUACAUAAAUUAUAAGGAUAUGCCCUUUAUUACAAAUUCGGAUAAUGUAGACUAGCUCUAGAAAAUCGCAUUUUCAAAAUCUAUAUUUUGUAAAAGAUGUUCUGCUUUAGUAAUUGGCCGCUUUUCACAUUGAAACUUGCUCAUUUUAAGUGGAUACUAUAUUUAAAAGAUAGCUGCAUAUAUUAGACGCACACUAUAAAAAUUAACUUGUUUAUUUAGGAGCAAGCGUAGGAUUGAAUACUUGUAAGCUAUUUUGAUCGCCUAUUGAACUCCUGUUUUGAUGACCGUUCCAAUGCGGUAAUCCCAAAUAUUUAUUUAAAGAUACAAAGUUUAUUUUCUAUGAAUUUGUCUUUGUUGUAUUUCGACUUUGUGUUUCUCUCGUUAAGUGACUUUUCCGCCUCUUACCAGUUUCAUCGUUAUAAUAUGGGCUUCCGGGAUUGUCCCCGUACUUCUCAAUGUUUAAUUUAGAUUUUUCUAGACAGACUUCUUGUUGUAAUUGACCGGAAAUUUUUAAUCGAUAUUUCUAGUUGAAGGCCCCUCUAUUUUAUUUUAAACUUAUUAUACCCCCUGAAUCAAACAUUAUCAGUAUUUAUUUAUUUGAUAAAUAAUGUGUUGCUAUAUAUAAAGAUCUACUUAGGUUUUAAUACAUGUUUAAGAAAUAUUAUGCAAAAUAAUCGGUCGGUUCCCUCUC